UCCCGCCCGGCGGCCUCGCCCUCUUCCCGCGGACCCGUGAGCUCCCGCCACGCGGAUGUGCGCGCCCAGCGCAAAGUUACUCGUGUUUCCCGCACUGAGCUGAAACGGCAGAGCCCCGACAGUUUUCGCGGCUUCCGUCGGACUGCACCGCUUAUGUUCAUGGAGUGUAAGCGACUCAACACAGAAUUGAUCCUUUGAAACCACCCAGAAGUCCAUCGACAGCCUGUCACGCACGGACAUAUUGCAGAGAAUCCUAGGGCAGAACGUUACACAGCAGUGGAAACGGAUGAGCCACAGUCACACUCGGCGGGGAUGGAUCUCUCAGCGUGAUGCUGGGAAGAGGCAGCACACAAAUAAUUAUGCGUGGUUUACUUCUGGUUAUAGAAAGGUCCCGGGCAGGCAAGAUGAAGGAUGGCAUUUGGGGCUGUAAGCCAGAGAAGUGGUGGCUAUCUGCAUAGGGAGGGCAGGGGUAGUGGUUACCUACACGAUCACUUUAUUGAUCCAACCAGUAAUUUAUGUUUGGUGCACCUUUUCAUGUGUAUGUUAUGUUUCAAAAUGAAAAAAUAAAAAAGGGAAAGUCA